rfam:Schistosoma rodhaini strain Burundi genome assembly, scaffold: SROB_scaffold0004682
GCACUGCUGAGGAGUCCCAUAAUAGGACGAAACGGCCUUCUAAUGC